GGAGUUGUAGCUCAAUGGUAGAGCACUUAUCUUGCAAUUAUGAGGCCCUAGGUUCGAUCCUAGCACCA
rnacentral:tRNA from 1 species